UACGAAGGGGGCUAGCGUUGCUCGGAAUCAUUGGGCGUAAAGAGCGUGUAGGCGGUCCGGUAAGUCCGCUGUGAAAGUCGGGGGCUCAACCCUCGAAUGCCGGUGGAUACUGUCGGGCUAGAGUGCGGAAGAGGCGAGUGGAAUUCCUGGUGUAGCGGUGAAAUGCGCAGAUAUCAGGAGGAACACCAAUGGCGAAGGCAGCACUCUGGGACGUGACUGACGCUGAGACGCGAAAGCGUGGGGAGCAAACAGG
rnacentral:rRNA from 1 species